AGAACUUAGCAGAGAUGCUUUGGUGCCUUCGGGAACUCUGAGACAGGUGCUGCAUGGCUGUCGUCAGCUCGUGUUGUGAAAUGUUGGGUUAAGUCCCGCAACGAGCGCAACCCUUAUCCUUUGUUGCCAGCGGUUAGGCCGGGAACUCAAAGGAGACUGCCAGUGAUAAACUGGAGGAAGGUGGGGAUGACGUCAAGUCAUCAUGGCCCUUACGAGUAGGGCUACACACGUGCUACAAUGGCGCAUACAAAGAGAAGCGACCUCGCGAGAGCAAGCGGACCUCAUAAAGUGCGUCGUAGUCCGGAUUGGAGUCUGCAACUCGACUCCAUGAAGUCGGAAUCGCUAGUAAUUGUGGAUCAGAAUGCCACGGUGAAUACGUUCCCGGGCCUUGUACACACCGCCCGUCACACCAUGGGAGUGGGUUGCAAAAGAAGUAGGUAGCUUAACCUUCGGGAGGGCGCUUACCACUUUGUGAUUCAUGACUGGGGUGAAGUCGUAACAAGGUAAGCGUAGUGCU
rnacentral:rRNA from 1 species